CUGGACUCGAACCAAGAAUCUCUAGCGGCACAGCUAACACUGCAGUGCCUUAAACCACUGCGUCACUCGCGGGGCCUGUGUCCAAACUUUUGACUGGUGUAUCAAAUUUCAGGGUGGUAAAGAGGGACACCAACACAUGCAACAUGUGUGAACAAGACAAUGUGAGCAAGACAAAGGAGCUGAUCAUGUAGUACAGGAAAAGGCGGGCCGAACGGGCCCCCAUUAACAUCGACGGGGCUGUAGUGGAGCGGGUCGAGAGUUUCAAGUUCCUUGGUGUCCACAUCACCGACGAACUAUCAUGGCCCAAACACACCAAGACAGUUGUGAAGAAGGCACGACAACACCUUUUCCCCCUCAGGAGACUGAAAAGAUUUGGCAUGGGUCCCCAGAUCCUCAAAAAGUUCUACAGCUGUACCGUCGAGAGCAUCCUGACCGGUUGCAUCACCGCAUGGUAUGGCAACUGCUCGGUAUCUGACCGUAAUGCGCUACAGAGGGUAGUGCGUACGGCCCAGUACAUCACUGGGGCCAAGUUUCCUGUCAUCCAGGACCUAUAUACUAGGCGGUGUUAGAGGAAAGCCCAAACAUUUUUCAAAGACUCCGAUCACCCAAGUCAUAGACUGUUCUCUCUGCUAUCGCACGGCAAGCGGUACUGGAGCGCCAAGUCUAGGACCAAAAGGCUCCUUAACAGCUUCUACCCCAAAGCCGUAAGACUGCUGAACAAUUAAUCAAAUUGCCGCACCCCCCUUUCGUUUUUACACUGCUGCUACUCGCUGUUUAUUAUAUACAGUAUGCAUUAGUCACUUCACUUUACCCUUACCUACAAAUUACCUCCACUAACCGGUACCCCCGUCAUUUUUUUGGUAUUAUUUCAACAUAGGGUGUGAAACUACCAGUCAGCCAUGAUGUUGCAUCAUAGGAUGUGGACAUUGGGACAUGUCGACUUGCAGUCCACAGUCAACAUGAUUGACAGAGAACUAUAUUGAUACUGUAAAUGGCUGCAUUUAUUUUAUUUUUGUAUUUUAUUUUUACAAUACAAAACUAAACAUACACAUACAAAUGACAACAUACAGACACACACAAACAUCCACAACAUCAUCCCUGGCCAGACACAGCUGCUCAUACCCCCAUCUCCAGCGCCAGCAUCACUCUCGGCCACAUGGCCUCAAACUGUACCAUUUCGUUUCUCUAUGUCGCCCACACACUUUCAACAUUUAGAUAAUAAAUAAGUUGACAUUUCCACUGUGUUAACUAUGGAGGAUUGGUUGAUUUCCCAUUUUGAAGUACUGUAUAUGUUUUUUUAGAAAUGGUUAAUGAGAAAAGUAUCAUCCAACCCAGCCGGUAUCUCACUGCGCCCUCAUAUGCCAUGUCUUGAAAUAUACAGACAGACAGAUUAAAAGUACAUUUACAUUGUAAAUGGCUCAAUUCUUAGAAUGUGUAUUUUUACGCUAGCACUUGAACACAUUAUAGCAGGCAAUUACUUCAGUCAAAUUUCAUUCGAUUUUUUUUUACAAUCGAAGUCAACAUUCAUUCAACUUCAUUUAAUUACUUACUAUAUAAAAGGUAAUUGUUGACUGUAGAGGGCAACUAAAAAUCCCCCAAAAUUCCAUUAUUAGUAUUUGUAGACUAUGACCUGGAGGUUAAACCCUGACAGAGGGAUUUAUUUUGUGAUAUCUGAUGUGACAUUCCUAAAUGUUUAGUGGAACUGUACUGUGCUACUGUAUCUUCCAGCAGAGAAAGUUACCCUUAGAGCAGCUAUUCCUCUUUCUGCCUCUCUCUCUCUCUCUCUCUCUCUCUCUCUCUCUCUCUCUCUCUCUAUCUCACUCUCUCGCUCUCUCGCUCUUGCUCUCUCUUUCUCUCUCGAUUUCUCUCUCUCUCUCUCUGUUUCUCUCUCUCUCUCUUCUCUCAAGUGGAGCCUCAGGCUGUGACACCUAUUAUGAGGUCUUUAGAUGACUGGCUAAUUAAAUGUAGCUGUAAUUAAAUUAUAAUGAGUAGCUAAGAGACAGCAGAGGAAACAGUCAAUUCAUUAAUUGCCUGGCCUGUGAAUAGAGUAGGACCAUGUUAGCUCUGUUAGUCUGUCUGGGUCUAUCUGGGAGAGGGACGGCCACACCACUGUCCAUAACGUACAUUGAACCCAAACAGUUGUAUUUGUGGUAGAGCAUGAAGUCUUGUAGAGACAAUUUGUUCUGUUCUGUAAUUUUGAUAUUGUGUCAGCAGACAGUUGGUAAGGUUAUUGUUUUGUCAUUGACUUGUCUGCUUCCUUGUAAGAUGGUGUGGUACCAAGAGAGAGGUUCUAGAUGUGCUUAGUAAAUAUCAUUUUGGUUUACAAAGAAUGCACUCAAAUCAACUUGCACCUAAUCAUCUCUGACAUGACUAGAAACAUAACCUUUCUCACAUUCGCAAUAACCAUGAGUGAACUAACGCCUCAGGAUGUCAAUGUAACCGUUUAUUUCCACCGAUUACAGUGUUUUGGCAAUCCCUAUUGUGAAAGUGCUACUGAUUUUAACUCAAUUUAGCAACAUAGCGUCAAUUGUGAAAUUCUGUACUUCAAUAUUCAACAUUUUGAGAAAGGAGACUCAGUCUUGCCUCAGUUCUCAGUUUUCAGUUUUGUUCUUACUGUCAAUAAUAUCUGACCUGCUAGCAGGAGUUGUUGCAUUGCACUAGCAUCUCACUAACAUCUCAUUAAAUAAAUCAUCUUUACAAUAAUAACCUAGUAACAACACAGUCAUUUACAUAGUGUAAGAACAGGAAGGCAGAUUACUACAGCGUUACAACAUGAAGGUACAGUAGACAAUGUAAAGAGGCAUAUUAUCGGAUAACUAUUGUAUAUUGGGGAAAAACUGCAAAUAUAUGAG
rnacentral:lncRNA from 1 species